rnacentral:rRNA from 1 species
UACGUAGGUGGCAAGCGUUGUCCGGAUUUAUUGGGUUUAAAGGGUGCGUAGGCGGUCUAUUAAGUCAGUGCUGAGAUAUCCCGGCUUAACCGGGAGGGUGGCAUUGAUACUGAUGGACUUGAGUGCAGUCGAGGUAGGCGGAAUUGACGGUGUAGCGGUGAAAUGCUUAGAUAUCGUCAAGAACACCGAUAGUGAAGACAGCUUACUAGACUGUAACUGACGCUGAGGCACGAAAGUGUGGGGAUCAAACAGG